rnacentral:rRNA from 1 species
CACGUAGGGUGCGAGCGUUGUCCGGAAUUAUUGGGCGUAAAGAGCUCGUAGGCGGUGUGUCGCGUCGGCCGUGAAAACCUGUAGCUUAACUGUGGGCUUGCGGUCGAUACGGGCAUCACUGGAGUUCGGCAGGGGAGACUGGAAUUCCUGGUGUAGCGGUGAAAUGCGCAGAUAUCAGGAGGAACACCGGUGGCGAAGGCGGGUCUCUGGGCCGAUACUGACGCUGAGGAGCGAAAGCGUGGGGAGCGAACAGG